AUGUACAUGCCUACAUCAUAGCGUUAAUGCACCAUAUACCAUUAUAACUCCACAGUUAAGCGCACUUGGGCUAGAGUGGUACUGGAAUGGGUGACCGCCCAUGAAGUCCUAGUGUUUUACAUC
rnacentral:rRNA from 1 species